UAGGGAAUAUUGCGCAAUGGGCGAAAGCCUGACGCAGCAACACCGUGUGUAGGAUGAAGGUUUUCGGAUCGUAAACUACUGUUAGCAGGGAAUAUAAUGACUGUACCUGCAGAGGAAGCAUCGGCUAACUACGUGCCAGCAGCCGCGGUAAUACGUAGGAUGCAAGCGUUGUCCGGAAUUAUUGGGCGUAAAGAGUUCGUAGGCGGUGAUUUAAGUCUAGUGUUAAAGCCCGGAGCUCAACUCCGGCAUGGCAUUGGAAACUGAAUUGCUAGAGUGUGAUAGAGGUAACUGGAAUUCCAGGUGUAGCGGUGAAAUGCGUAGAUAUCUGGAGGAACACCGGUGGCGAAAGCGAGUUACUGGAUCACAACUGACGCUGAGGAACGAGAGCCAGGGUAGCAAAAGGGAUUAGAUACCCGCGUAGUCC
rnacentral:rRNA from 1 species